rnacentral:misc_RNA from 1 species
UCACCCCUCAAGCCCCGUGCUUGGUGUUGGACGGCCGGUCGCGUACAGCGACCUCUCCAAAAGACAAUGACGGCGGCCUGUGGCUCCCCCGGUACACUGAGCUUUUCACGGAGCACGUAUCGGAUGAGGGCGCCCGGGACCCGGUCUUCUUCUAGUCUCUAGAAACUUUUCAAUGG